rnacentral:lncRNA from 1 species
AUCCAAAAUAAGUAGCAAAGGCAACAAAAUAAGCAAAAUUUGCAGCAAAUUACGUUAAUAAAUAAUUAUGUUUAAACUGAAUAAGUAACAACUAACAACCUUGAUUCCUUGAAUCUUACAAUUCCAUUGAUUUUCCCAGAAAACAAUUUUAAGUAACUGCUUAGUCUCAAUCCCAACCAAAUUUAUAUUCCAACGGUGGCGUAAGCAUAGAUUGGUAUGCUUAUUCAACUUCGACUUUUCAAUCUUCCAACCAAUUCAAGAAAGCUACUUUGAGGAACAAUCACGGUUAUCCAACAAAAGGGGUUUCUAUUUCUCCAAACAAACAAGUUACGACAAUGUUCAUUUUACCAAUGGAUUGCAAAAUUGAUCGUUCAACAAGAAAAUGGAUCAUAUUCGAUCAGAUCAAACCUAAAACGUUAUCAAAACAAACUGAUUGGAUAACACAAAACCAAGUAUGAAGAUCUCUCCAGACAACAACGAAAUUACUAUACAUAUUUUGGAAGAAUAUAUAUGAUUAAUUCAUAUAGUACAACCACAAAAGAUAAAGAAAUAAAAAAGCAUACAAACCAAAGCUAAGGAUUCAAACACUGUGACUAAAGUCCACAGAACGUUAUCCACGACAGAUAUAUCGAGCCACCGGAAGCUCGGGCUGCUCCACCGUGAUGUGAAGGAGGAGAAAUUGAUUUCCGGCCAACGAAGAAUUGACGAAGGCAGAGAAAAAUCGAACUCCGGCCACCUGAAAGCUGACCAAUACCAACUCCCUAUACACAUCUCUGAAAGAGGUUUCUUAUUUUCUGUGAAUUAAUAAUAUGAAAGUUCCGUAGUCUAUUAUUUUAUAUGAUGUCAGAACACCGUAACCAUAGAUUUUGCUAGAGAAUUUUAGAUCAGUUAUUACGUGUCUUGGACAAUUUGGCUAGAUGAUUGUGACUAAUAGUUAAUUUAAUGUACAUAGCCAUCACCAACACGAAAAUACACGUGUGUAGGUCUAUCAUUCUAUCUCAAACUUUAUCAUCCUUUCUUCUUUAUUCGUCCUCCAUUAGAAUAGUGUAUCAAUACGACUCAAAUUUUGAAAUGAUUCCUUGGUCAAGCACAAUCCCUUUCUUACUACCGAUUUGGCAUGAAAUUACUUCGUCCGGCCGCAUAAUUAAGCACAUAGGGACCUACCAUUGGACUCGACACGACUUGUGUAAAAGUGAGUUGGCCUAUGGCAUGAUCAAUACUCGAAGUUUGG